GCUCUCACUGCACAAAGAAAUGGUAUUUGAACCAAUUUACUGUAUGUCAAAGGACCAUGUUAGUCACCUCACAUGUGGUUUAAAUCCAAAGUAUUUAAACAAACAAACAAACCAGAUGUUAGGAAGCAGGGCCAUAGUGCCAGUCAUUUUAGUGUAUCAACAGAGCCUCUGCCUUCAAGACACUUACAGUUUGGUUGUGCUUCCCACUGGCAGCAACUGAAGCAGUUUAUUAUGUGCAUCUGUCACAUGGUCUACUUCAUCAACCAAAUGGAACUGGGAGAAUAAGUCACCCUAACAAGAUCCUUCAGUAUACUCUUAAAAACUACUUACAGAUGUACUCUUCCUCUGUGGGAAUACAGUGAUUUCCUUGUACUGUACCACGUGAUACAGGAAAUGCAUUAUCCCCAUCCAAAUUCAGGCAUACCAGGAAGAAGCAUGUGAAAAGAAAGCAGCUCACAAAAGCACACAAGCUUUUGCGAAGUCUUUAGAGGGGCUCACACACAAAUUUAUGAUAACAGCAGAUAAAAUCAGAGGCCUCUGAAGCUCAGUUCAUUUCAAAU
rnacentral:lncRNA from 1 species